GACGAACGCUGGCGGCGUGCUUAACACAUGCAAGUCGAACGGAAAGACGCUGAGUUUGUUGCUCUCACGUGUGCCGCACACGUGAGUGUCACGUGUGUAACACCUCCCUGUCUUUCGGGUAACAUCUCGGGACUCCGGAUCUUACCCCGGAUAAUAUAUUGCACCAUAUUGUGGAUUGGUAAAAGUCGGCUUUUCUGUAACGUAUAGCUGCAUCCGGGCCGCAUUAGCUAGUUGGUAAGGUCACAGCUUAUCAAGGGAACGAUGCGUAGCCGACCUGAGAGGGUGAUCGGCCACACUGGAACUGAGACACGGUCCAGACUCCUACGGGAGGCAGCAGUAGGGAAUCUUCCGCAAUGGGCGAAAGCCUGACGGAGCAACGCCGCGUGAGUGAUGAAGGUCUUCGGAUCGUAAAACUCUGUUAUUAGGGAAGAACAAAUGUGUAAGUAACUAUGCACGUCUUGACGGUACCUAAUCAGAAAGCCACGGCUAACUACGUG
rnacentral:rRNA from 1 species